GGAGAGCCCAGUGUCGCCGUACAGCGUCCGGCCUCCUUCCUUUUUAAGGCUAGUUUGGCAGAUGAAGAUUUAUUCAGUUACGCAUCAUAAGAGGAAGUGAUGAAUCAAUGAAAAUUAGAGUUGGACAGCUUCCAGGAAAAGCCUUAAAUCUGGUUAUACCAGCUAUGAGGUCCUGAAGGAGAAGUUGCUGACUGGAUGUGGAUGAUACACUAACAGAGAAGGCACCUCACUUCUCCCCUCCAAACCUGUGUUUUUGAGUUUGUUUGAUUUUUAUCAUUUAAUCUGUUUUAGAUUUAUAAUCAUUAAAUGUUUAUUUUAUCUUGAUGAAGGCCCCUCAGAAUUGCCUGUACUGCAACAUGGGCGGCAAAUAAAGUUGAUAAAUAAUAUAAAUAAAA